rnacentral:rRNA from 1 species
ACAGGCUUAACACAUGCAAGUCGAGGGGGAAACGAUAUUGGAAGCUUGCUUCUGAUAGGCGUCGACCGGCGCACGGGUGAGUAACGCGUAUCCAACCUGCCCAUCACUUGGGGAUAACCUUGCGAAAGUAAGACUAAUACCCAAUGACGUCUCUAGAAGACAUCUGAAAGAGAUUUAAAGAUUUAUCGGUGAUGGAUGGGGAUGCGUCUGAUUAGCUUGUUGGCGGGGUAACGGCCCACCAAGGCGACGAUCAGUAGGGGUUCUGAGAGGAAGGUCCCCCACAUUGGAACUGAGACACGGUCCAAACUCCUACGGGAGGCAGCAGUGAGGAAUAUUGGUCAAUGGACGAGAGUCUGAACCAGCCAAGUAGCGUGCAGGAUGACGGCCCUAUGGGUUGUAAACUGCUUUUAUAAGGGAAUAAAGUGGGAGUCGUGACUCUUUUUGCAUGUACCUUAUGAAUAAGGACCGGCUAAUUCCGUG